rnacentral:tRNA from 1 species
GCCCCCAUAGCUCAAUCGGAUAGAGCGCAGGCCUCCGGAGCGUGAGAUUGAGGUUCGAAUCCUCAUGGGGGCA